rnacentral:lncRNA from 1 species
AGAGAUUGGAUUUCACACAAAACCAACGAAAUGACUCGUGCCACCAUACUAUGAUGUUUCCCAAGUUUUGGACUCAAUCCGAUAUUGAUUGGUCCAUGAAAUUGGACAAUUCAGGUUCGUACAAAGUUCGUUCUGAAAUGGAGUUGUUUCUGUUUUGCUAGUUUUAGAGAUUCGAUUUCACUCAAAACCCACCAAAUGACUCC